UGCAUGAGGUGGCAAAUCCGAUGACGGCCU
rnacentral:piRNA from 1 species